ensembl:lncRNA
CCCUCCAACCAGACCACACCCUCCAACCAGACCACACCCUCCAACCAGACCACGCCCUCCAACCAGACCACACCCCCCAACCAGACCACACACCCCAACCAGACCACACCCUCCAACCAGACCACACCCUCCAACCAGACCACACACCCCAACCAGACCAUGCCCUCCAACCAGACCACGCCCUCCAACCAGACCACGCCCUAGAAUCAGACCACACCCUCCAAUCAGACCACGCCCUCCAGCCCAAUCAGGCCUCUCAGAACUCUAGCGCAGGCCGGGCAAAGGCGGCGGCUUCAGCAACCCGCGGGGUGCUGAAGAGCGGCGCGGUGGCGUUCAUGGUGCUCGGGCUGGCGGCGCUCACGCUGGCGCUUGCCGUUUGCGGCCGCAAAGCGAUGGAGUCCUUUGAUCGGCGCCACUACACCCGGCUGGAGCUCAACGACCUCCACUACGAGGUGUGAGGCUGCCGUCUUUGUCCAUGGUCGCGGUCGCGGGACGUCCCCUGCGCAGAGAGCCGAGGGGCCGUGCGUUAUGUCCCGUUACCGCCAGGCGGCGUCCUCGCUUUGUUUAUUGCCGCGGUAACGUGUAACCAGGACAACGGGAGCGGUUGGGUUCUGGGAGAUAAUGAUGAAGGACUCCAUAUGAAUACGUUCCAUAUUGAGACACAGCGCCGGGCGCAGAUAUUUUAACGUAUUUAGUUAUUACAAAAAAAAUUAAAUAAAAAUGCCACUUGGCAAAUCAAGAAAAAAAAUAUGACAAAUUUCAAUAUCACUAUAAAUUUGUGUCUUUAAUCAUAUUUGUCUUCACAAUGUUUGAGCUUUUCUCACUUUGUAAGAGUUUCCACAAAGUGUGAUUAUUGUCACGCGCUGUGACAUCACCUGUUUUUUGACCUUUAUUUGACGACGUGGCGUCACUUUGUCGACGUUAUCUCACAAAAGAUCAUUUCUUAUAAUGAAUGUUCUCCUGAAUGAACUGAGCAGCUUCUCUGUGGAACAGGAAGUGACUGAUGGACGAACUCCUGAUCAGCUGAUCGAUUGAAUUCAAACUACAAACAGCAAUAUUUAUAUUCCCUGAAUCUCAGGAUGUGUGUGAGGAGGCUCCUCUUCUUCAUCAUCUCCUCUUCAUCGUCUCCUUCUCUUCCCCCUCCUCCUGCUUUUAUUCUCCAUCUUCCCCUCCUCCUUCUGUCCAGGUCCUCUCCAUCCUGCAUGUCCUCUCACGUCCUCGUUGAUGCUUCUUCCCACUGUGCUGUUUUUUCCCACAAUGAUGAAGAUGUAACUGGAUGAUGAUGACGAUGAUGACGAUUUAAAUCAAUGAGGAAGAUGUAAAUCGAUGAUGAAACCCUCCAAAGUUGAUGCACUAUUCAUUUCUGGGUGUUUUUGAUAAAUAUGAUCUUCUUUUUGAAUAUUGGAUUGUUUUUGCACUAUUUUCCUAUGACGAGUGUGUUUGUACCUGAUGCGUCCAGCAGGGGCAGCAGCCCCCCCCCCCCCCCAUUAUUGGUUAUUGAUUACUAUUAUUAGUAUUAACGAUGGUGACAGUCUGGUCCUGUUUUGUGAAGUGAUACUUUUGCAUAUGUUUGCAACUUUGAUGUUUUGUUUUAGUAAGGAUUAAAAAACUGUGAUUUUUGAAGAUGUUGUUGUUGUUUUACUGACGGAACCGACCGGAAGUGCCAAUCAUUGAUCUCCAGAUGUGAACACAGCUGUUGUCUUAAAGGGAAGUUAUUGUUUGUGGGUCAGAAGUAAAAAAAGAAGAAACAAAUGUUUAAUU